CAGUCGAGCGAAUCGAUGGGAGCUUGCUCCCUGAGAUUAGCGGCGGACGGGUGAGUAACACGUGGGCAACCUGCCUAUAAGACUGGGAUAACUUCGGGAAACCGGAGCUAAUACCGGAUACGUUCUUUUCUCGCAUGAGAGAAGAUGGAAAGACGGUUUMGGCUGUCACUUAUAGAUGGGCCCGCGGCGCAUUAGCUAGUUGGUGAGGUAAUGGCUCACCAAGGCGACGAUGCGUAGCCGACCUGAGAGGGUGAUCGGCCACACUGGGACUGAGACACGGCCCAGACUCCUACGGGAGGCAGCAGUAGGGAAUCUUCCGCAAUGGACGAAAGUCUGACGGAGCAACGCCGCGUGAACGAAGAAGGCCUUCGGGUCGUAAAGUUCUGUUGUUAGGGAAGAACAAGUACCAGAGUAACUGCUGGUACCUUGACGGUACCUAACCAGAAAGCCACGGCUAACUACGUGCCAGCAGCCGCGGUAAUACGUAGGUGGCAAGCGUUGUCCGGAAUUAUUGGGCGUAAAGCGCGCGCAGGUGGUUCCUUAAGUCUGAUGUGAAAGCCCACGGCUCAACCGUGGAGGGUCAUUGGAAACUGGGGAACUUGAGUGCAGAAGAGGAAAGUGGAAUUCCAAGUGUAGCGGUGAAAUGCGUAGAGAUUUGGAGGAACACCAGUGGCGAAGGCGACUUUCUGGUCUGUAACUGACACUGAGGCGCGAAAGCGUGAGGGAGCAAACAGGAUUAGAUACCCUGGKAGUCCACGCCGUAAACGAUGAGUGCUAAGUGUUAGAGGGUUUCCGCCCUUUAGUGCUGCAGCUAACGGAUUAARCACUCCGCCUGGGGAGUACGGGCGCAAGGCUGAAACUCAAAGAAUUGACGGGGGGCCCGCACAGCGGUGUAGCAUGUGGUUUAUUCRAACAACGCGAAGAAACCUUACCAGGU
rnacentral:rRNA from 1 species